rnacentral:lncRNA from 1 species
AGAAAUUUGCAGCUUAUCCUUGCAUUAAAGUCUCUGAUACUUUCAUACAGUUUGCUCUUUGGCAAACUAAGACUGCAUGUAGAUAUAUUUUUGGAUGCAAACACAGAUGUGGACUGUUGUUCUCAUGAUUUGAACAGGAGGUGAUGGGAUGGAUGAAACUGUAUCAUUCUCAAAAGAAACCUGUCAAAAUCCUUGAUGAUUUGAGAGGAAUAAUAAGGCCUUCCAGGUACUUACAAGCUACCACAGCAUUGCUCAUUUGUUGUGUUUCAAUUUGGAGAUCAUGUCUAAUUAAAGUAUAAUCAAUCCUCUCAGCUUUGUGUUUGUAAUCCUUCAAAAAAAAAAAUAUUUC